GCAACCAGGGUUUCAUCGAAAAAGCACCAUUCAGCAUCGACGGCUUGAUCAAAGAAGAACCCUUCUGUGCUGCCUUAGACUUAAGUUUUAUAAUUUUUGGCUCUUCAAUUUUCUGUUUAUUUUCCUGAGAUUCUUCGGUCAGUUCGAACUCUUGUUGGUAGGUUGUAUAGAACUUGCUGAGUUUUUGAUCUCUUCCAACAACAUCACCUUCGGACUCUUGUUGGUAGGUUCUUUUUGAUGGUCACUAAUAUCCAUAUCUAUCAUAGACACGUUCUGAAAAAGUGAAAUAUAUAUACAAAUAUGAUGUAAAUAUAGUACCAUCAUUUAUUCUUUUUCUUUGCGGGGAGUACUAUCAUAUAUUCAUAUAAAACAUGCAAACUAAAAAGGUUGAAAAGACAGACAUCUAGAAUAUGCAAAACGAGAUUUGUUCUAGUCUAGCCAAGAUAUUUGGUAGCCCCGACAGACCGUCCAAAUACCUCAGUUCUUAUGCUAUAAUGUAUAGAGAAUGGCGUUUUGGCUCUCGGCCUCCAUGGAGGCCUUUAAAAAAACAAAAUUCAAAAAUUCCAGUUCUAAACUUUUUCGUACAAGUAAACAAUGAUGUGAGGCGUAUGUGUGUAAAAUUUAAGGAUGAAAUACGUUGAAAUGCGACCUGUACAAAAAAAAACAAAUUCAUGAUCUGGGAGGAUGAAUCGUAUCAUGUGUUAAAAAAUCACAAAUUUGUACUCCAUCCAUCUGGAAAUACUUUUCAUCAAAAUGAAUAAAAAGGGAUGUAUCUAGAUGUAUUUUAGUUCUAGAUACAUCUCUUUUUAUCCAUUUUGAUGACAAGUAUUUUCGCAUGGAGGGAUAUUUUUUGCAUAGGCCACGUUUGAACGUAUUUGUCUUCAAAAUUUACACGCUUGUGCACUAUGCCUUCAUCUAUUUCUAUAUUUUUUCAGAAUUUGUUUGAAUGUAAAAAUAUGAUUUUUCAAGAAUUUUGAAUUUUGCAUCUCCAUGGAGCUCGGCCUCCACAAGCAAUUUCGCGUAAUAUACACUAAUAUAAAUAAAAAAAUUAUAGAGCCGUGGGGCAAAAAACAAUUCUGCUACAGCCAGCACUGUCAGUCUCUUUCUCCUCGCUGCUGACCCCUUUCCCAUUCCACCCAUGACCCACCCUGCUCCCUGUGCAGCCGCCGGCGCAUCAUGGCGCACGGCACCCAUCCCGGCCCAACCUCCCACCCCACGCCUCCGAACCGUCCCUGCAGCCUACCUGCGCCGUCGCGAGCCUCCCACACCGCGCCCCCAUCACUCCCAGCUGUCCGGCGAGAUCUCGGGGGCAGGCAGACGCGCACGCAGUCUGGGCGGGGGCAUCCACCGCGCGGCGCUCCCUGCCCCGCGCCCCCGCCGCGAUGAAGCCACGCCGGUCCGAAUCAUCAGGUGGUAACGCGCGGCGACUGGCGCGCGCCGUGCAGCGCGAGGUGGGCUCGAUCUGCAUCCACCGGCAGGAUCGGGCUCCUCAUUUUGGAGACCCUGCCGCAAACUGUGCUCGGCCGGAUGGGCGGAGAUCGAUGAGGAGUAGAUUCCGUGGUGCAGCACGAUGCCGACGGCUUCUCUUCGCCACCGAGCUCUGCUCCCCUCCCUAUGCGUCAGGAUCAGGGUGCCCACGGAUCUUACCUUGUCACGGUCGGCUCUCGUCUCUCCCUCCGCGUCCUGCAUUGGUAGCUCUGUUGGAUUGGCACCGCCGGUGAAAUUCGAUCUUAGAGCUUAAACAGGUGCAUAUUCUACCAAGUAUAGAACGGGGAGAUGUCGCGAAAGGAAUAUUCAUGGUUUCUGAAGACUGAUUAUGCUCACAAACUCAGGUUAGUGUGCAUUAAGAUCUACAAUAGUUAUGUGCUGUAAUGCAGAAUUGAACAUACUUUACCUUGAGUUGUUAUAAUUUGAUCCGGCGACUUCAUGUGCUAAGGACUUCCUUGUAGACUAUGUUCUUCAUGGUCGUUAAUAAGGGUUCAAAUCUUUUUCGCUUCUUUGAAAUCUUGCUUUGUUCCUUGCCCUUGCCCUUACCCUUGCCUUUACCCUUGCCGUUGUCCUUGAUGGCGAGAAUCUUAAUGUUCCUCUUCGCGGUGGCUCUAGACAAUGCAACGUAGAGCUGACCGUGAGAGAAAAUCGGGUCUGGUAGGUACACCCCGACAAUCGCUGGGUUGUGAUCUCGGUGUCCUCUCAUAUUCAACAACUGAUAAGAUUAGUGAAGGGUAAGUUAUGAAAGCUUAUUGAAUACCUUAUGUGCAUACAUGUGAUUGACAUAUACAUACCUCUUUUCCCUUUGUCAUAGAGAUGCCUUCUGUCCUGUGACAUCUUUGUGUUCUAUAAAAGCUUUAAGUUCUUAACUAAACCUGCAUUUUUUGCAUGAAAAAAAUGAUAUGAUAUUUGUAACUGUAUUGUACUGUAAUUAAGAGGACUUUAGCAAUAUUCUUUAUGGAACAGGGGUCUUCAAUAUGAACUUAAGUCUGGGAACUGAAUAGAUGUCUAUAAUAUGAAAUUGGGUGAAAAGCAUGUCAAUCUCACGUCAUCAAUUCUUAGAUUUUUUAACUUUGUUACAUUUGCUUUCAUUCAUUUGCAUAGAGUGGCCUUGCUGCAAAGACAAGAUUGAGAUGACAUGUCACACCCGUCCACAUUAGCACACAUUAUACAUUUGUUUCAUGUAUUUAAUUCCCGGAAGUUGAUGAGCCUAAUGAAGCACCUUCACAAUUUGGUAGCUGGUACAUAGCUUAAAAUCCUGCAUGCUUUGUUCAAUGUACUUGGAGUAGAACUUAAAGAUGCAAUCUGAGUACUACUAUAUUUUUGAGGUCGCAUCAUGAAGUUCUGAACAGGAGUUUAGUAUCUUUCUGAUGUAAAAAAACUUUGCUGAAACAAUUGAGGAUGACAAACCUAGGGCAUGGUGGGCACCGUUGAACAUAACAAAGGUGGAUCUCAGUCCUUUUGCCAUCGGAGAGGCAGAAGACGGUAGGUGAAGAACUGUGAAGAUGAUGGCAGGAGGAUGUAGCGGCGACAUCAGGAGAUAGACGCAGCAACAGCCGUCGAGUGCAGGUUCUGGUUCAGGGGCGUCGAGGUUGCGGUUCAGCAUGCGAGGAGAUCAGAGGUUGAUGGCAGCAGAGGCUGCGCUCGCACAGCUCGCGUGAGAACGAUGUGGUCGGACGGCGAGUGAACCGGCGAUUCUCUCCUUGGCGUAGUGCGUCCGUGGGUCGAUGGAGCUCGUACGCGAGGAAGAACUGGCAUUUCUCUCCCCGGAGAUGUGCGUUCGUGGGUCGAUGGAGGUCGCAGGUGGUUUGAUUUUUGGCCGAUGGACCUCGUUCGUGGGUUGAGCUGAACUGUUUUUUUUGUUGGCCGGUUUGUUGAUCGAUGAACCUCGUUCGUGGGUUGAGGACUUCGUUCGUGGGUUGAGCCGAAUUGUUUUUUUUGGCUGUGGAUCUUGUACGUGGGCUGAGUUGGCCUUUGAUUUUUGGGAUACUGCACGCGUGGCCCAUCGCAUGAUGGUUGUCGUACGAAGGGGUGGGGGAUCGAACGAUGUCGAACCAUCACGACGUUCGAUCCCCCUUUAAUAGUAGAGAUUAUUGUGAUGACACUUAUGCUAUAAAAAGUAGUGAUGAUUAUAUUUA